GAGGAGCUUGCUCUUCUUGGAUGAGUUGCGAACGGGUGAGUAACGCGUAGGUAACCUGCCUGGUAGCGGGGGAUAACUAUUGGAAACGAUAGCUAAUACCGCAUGAAAUGGAUUAUCGCAUGAUAAUCGAUUGAAAGGUGCAAAUGCAUCACUACCAGAUGGACCUGCGUUGUAUUAGCUAGUUGGUGAGGUAACGGCUCACCAAGGCAACGAUACAUAGCCGACCUGAGAGGGUGAUCGGCCACACUGGGACUGAGACACGGCCCAGACUCCUACGGGAGGCAGCAGUAGGGAAUCUUCGGCAAUGGACGGAAGUCUGACCGAGCAACGCCGCGUGAGUGAAGAAGGUCUUCGGAUCGUAAAGCUCUGUUGUAAGAGAAGAACGAGUGUGAGAGUGGAAAGUCACACU
rnacentral:rRNA from 1 species